rnacentral:rRNA from 2 species
UAACGCUUGGUGUUGACCCAUCCUGCAGUCGAGCGGACAGAUGGGAGCUUGCUCCCUGAUGUUAGCGGCGGACGGGUGAGUAACACGUGGGUAACCUGCCUGUAAGACUGGGAUAACUCCGGGAAACCGGGGCUAAUACCGGAUGGUUGUUUGAACCGCAUGGUUCAGACAUAAAAGGUGGCUUCGGCUACCACUUACAGAUGGACCCGCGGCGCAUUAGCUAGUUGGUGAGGUAACGGCUCACCAAGGCAACGAUGCGUAGCCGACCUGAGAGGGUGAUCGGCCACACUGGGACUGAGACACGGCCCAGACUCCUACGGGAGGCAGCAGUAGGGAAUCUUCCGCAAUGGACGAAAGUCUGACGGAGCAACGCCGCGUGAGUGAUGAAGGUUUUCGGAUCGUAAAGCUCUGUUGUUAGGGAAGAACAAGUGCCGUUCAAAUAGGGCGGCACCUUGACGGUACCUAACCAGAAAGCCACGGCUAACUACGUGCCAGCAGCCGCGGUAAUACGUAGGUGGCAAGCGUUGUCCGGAAUUAUUGGGCGUAAAGGGCUCGCAGGCGGUUUCUUAAGUCUGAUGUGAAAGCCCCCGGCUCAACCGGGGAGGGUCAUUGGAAACUGGGGAACUUGAGUGCAGAAGAGGAGAGUGGAAUUCCACGUGUAGCGGUGAAAUGCGUAGAGAUGUGGAGGAACACCAGUGGCGAAGGCGACUCUCUGGUCUGUAACUGACGCUGAGGAGCGAAAGCGUGGGGAGCGAACAGGAUUAGAUACCCUGGUAGUCCACGCCGUAAACGAUGAGUGCUAAGUGUUAGGGGGGUUUCCCCCCUUAGUGCUGCAGCUAACGCAUUAAGCACUCCGCCUGGGGAGUACGGUCGCAAGACUGAAACUCAAAGGAAUUGACGAGGGGCCCGC